CCAAUAGCGUAUAUUAAAGUUGCUGCAGUUAAAAAGCUCGUAGUUGAAUUUCGGGACUAAUAUGUCGGUCGUGCCUCGGUACGUACUGGUAUUUUUGGUUUCUCCCUUCUGACGAACCUUGAUGUCAUUAAUUUGGUGUCUUGGGAAAUCAGGACUGUUACUUUGAAAAAAUUAGAGUGUUUAAAGCAGGCUCACGCUUG
rnacentral:rRNA from 1 species